GAUGAACGCUGGCGGCGUGCCUAAUACAUGCAAGUCGAGCGAACAGACGAGGAGCUUGCUCCUCUGACGUUAGCGGCGGACGGGUGAGUAACACGUGGAUAACCUACCUAUAAGACUGGGAUAACUUCGGGAAACCGGAGCUAAUACCGGAUAAUAUAUUGAACCGCAUGGUUCAAUAGUGAAAGACGGUUUUGCUGUCACUUAUAGAUGGAUCCGCGCCGCAUUAGCUAGUUGGUAAGGUAACGGCUUACCAAGGCAACGAUGCGUAGCCGACCUGAGAGGGUGAUCGGCCACACUGGAACUGAGACACGGCCCAGACUCCUACGGGAGGCAGCAGUAGGGAAUCUUGCACAAUGGGCGAAAGCCUGACGGAGCAACGCCGCGUGAGUGAUGAAGGUCUUCGGAUCGUAAAGCACUGUUAUUAGGGAAGAACAAAUGUGUAAGUAACUAUGCACGUCUUGACGGUACCUAAACAGAAAGCCCCGGCUAACUACGUG
rnacentral:rRNA from 1 species